UUGGACAACUUGUGGAUUGCCUAUUUUACCCCUCUCCAUAUUUUAUAUUAUGUAUAGUUAUAAAGUAUUUAAUAUUAGAUUAAGCACGUUCCUUUAUGUUUAUUGGAAUUAAUUAUAAAAGAAUCCUAAUUCAACUCAAACAUGGAAGUAGUGACGGAAGUUUCUAUUAGAUUACUCCUAAUAUAAUAUUCUACUUAAAUUUCUUUUUCAUUCUUAUCAUAUUCUAUUAGAUUACUCCUAAUCUAACCUCAUCGUCACUUCUUUUCCUCUUCAACAUCUUGCUCUCUUUCGUGCUUCGCUCCGUCGGCGCUGCGCUCCGAUCAGCAAUUUCUUGCCUGGUCUACCAGCGUCGUGCAUUCGUAAGCAAUAAGAUUUUGUUGUUCUCCUCCCGUCUACACCAGCUCCGAUCAGGUUCUCCUCACUCGCUGCUCUGAGCCUCCAGUCUACCGUGCUCUCUUUCGUGCUUCACCUCCGCUCUUAGUCUUUCUCCGGUUGCCGCCUCCCCUCUUCGAAGGCCGUUUUAGAAUGAAGGCAUGUCUAAAUUGUUGCUAAACCUCAACUAAAUGAGGUUUAGCAAUACAAAAAUGUCAUCUCAAUAUUUCCGAGCUUCAAUUCUGUUCAAACGCAGAAGAUAAAGAAAAACGCAACAGAGAAAGAAAAUCAGAGGCGGAUAUGUUGUGGAUUUCUAUUACAAUUCUAAUUCUAAUAUUGUGGAUUUCUAUAUAUCACAAGUCUUUGAUCUAUUAAAUUAUUUUAUUCUUA